UAAAAUUAUAGAGGCGGUCUGUCAAUCGUCAAAAAAUCCUUCCCUUCCCUAGAACGACACUCCAAAUACAAAAAAAAAUACUUCAAUGUCCAUUGGAGUGAUCGCUCAUAUUGUAAGUCAAAUGUCAGUUUCGACGACGUUACUAGAGGUGGUGGUUCCUUCACCAUAACCAACUAGUACUCUGACUACUCUCAGGCUUACACAAACCACUAUAGGAGACCAUAUGCCUUCAUUCCUCCCAAGCAUCACAUUGCCC
rnacentral:lncRNA from 1 species